rnacentral:rRNA from 1 species
CCUACGGGUGGCAGCAGUGAGGAAUAUUUGUCAAUGGGCGCGAGCCUGAACCAGCCAAGUAGCGUGAAGGAUGACUGCCCUACGGGUUGUAAACUUCUUUUAUAAAGGAAUAAAGUGAGGAAAGUGUGCCUUUUUGUAUGUACCGUAUGAAUAAGGAUCGGCUAACUCCGUGCCAGCAGCCGCGGUAAUACGGAGGAUACGAGCGUUAUCCGGUUUUAGUGGGUUGAAAGGGUGCGGAGACGGAAUAUCAAGUCAGCGGUAAAAGUUCGGGGCUCAACCCCGUCGUGCCGUUGAAACUGAUGUUCUUGAGUGGGCGAGAAGUAUGCGGAAUGCGUGGUGUAGCGGUGAAAUGCAUAGAUAUCACGCAGAACUCCGAUUGCGAAGGCAGCAUACCGGCGCCCAACUGACGCUGAAGCACGAAAGCGUGGGUAUCGAACAGGAUUAGAUACCCCUGUAGUC